AUCAAAUUGAAAUUAUGUAAUAAUAUUAACAGAAAAAAAUGCUACAAAUUUGCACCCACGAGUCUGCGUAUGUAUAUUUGAUGUACUCUGCCGCCCUCUACUGUCAAUGCUAUGCAAUGACAAUUCCACCAAUAAAGGAAGAGUCCACUUUAUGACGUCUGGCAGACAGGAUCAGAGCGCUAGGCUAGGAUGGUUUGGCCAUUUGAGCAGAAGGGAUUGUGAUUAUAUCGGUAGAAGGAUGUUGGCGUUGGAGCUGCCAGGGGCAAGCAGAAGGGGAAGGCUGACCGAGGAAGACAAAAAAGGACAGGGCAAGAUAGGAACACAUGAACCGCUAUGGCGACCUGUAACGAGAAAAGCCGAAAGUAGAAGGAGAUUGAAUGAACGUAUUUAACCUUAAUAGUCCAUAUUUAACUGAUAUUUAAGACAAAGUAUUUAGGACACAUUGAAAAAUUAAUCAGAUAUCAAAGAUAAAGUCGUAAAUUUACGCGUAAUUUUGUCAGAGGGAAAAUAGGUCUUGAGCUAGCAGAUUAGCAUGGCUAGCCCCUCUCACUUCCGCCUUUCUGCCCCGCCACAUGCCCAAGGUCAAAGGUCACAUAAGUUCCCCUUUUUAUAGCUGUCUCAGGCAAUGCCUGUAUAAAAAGUUACUUAAAUCUCGUAAUAGUAAUUUUUUUCUUGUAUAAAGUCUGACAUCUCAAAUUAUUUUAAUACUACGCCGUAACAGACUAGCUGAGACAGCCAUUAAAUGGGACCUUUGGCUUUGGGGGCAAAGGUAAUACUACUUUUCUUUUACAAGAAAAAUUGUGCAGUUAGUUCUGGUAAAAUUUUUUCCCGGAUAAUUCAUUAAUGCAAUAAUAAUUGUAACAUAUGUGAAGUUGUCAGUAUUGGAACAUUUCCUUGCACAUGUCAUGUAACUAACAUGCAGAAAACUAUAGGACUGUUGGCGUGCAGUGACGCACACAUGCAAAGCUAAAGACCAUGGGAAGCAUGUGGUGUGGUCUCCUCUGUACCUCCACAGACCUGGGGGAUGCGGUGUGGGCCUGCGGGCCAUCACGUCUCACCUCGCUGGGGUCAGGGUGCCUUAAACCUCAAUAUAUUACGACUUCUCUGUCAGAUCCGCAAAUGUAUAUAUGGAAUGGUUUCUUUUCCUCACGUUGACGACGUCCAGGAGGGGCCUUGAAAGUGGAGAACUGGAAAAUGAACUUAUGGAAAAAAACGGCUUUGAAUCCAGAAUAUCCUGUUACAUCAGCGGAAAGGCGUUUUGCAGGUCAUCACUCUUCAUGUUGAAGAAAUGAUGAUUCCCAAGUGGGAAUAUUCACUGGGUUUUUGGAUUUUUUAUUUUUUGCUGUUGAAACCCACCCAAAAUUGAAUCGAGACCAUCAAGACCGCUUCAUUGACAGUUCCAGCCAACCUGCAACAGAUCCCGGCGGAGCUGUCUUAGCACAAGGAACCCGAUAUCACGUCAGCCAGAUGACCAAGUUCAGGGCCUGCACACCUCCUCCUCCAUUUUCCCUCCUCCUGCUGAUGCUGGAUGUCGGAUCAAUGGAAUCCCGCUGGGAUACACGGGACCACACCCACACGCUCAGUAGUGGACUCUUUGUGAUUGGACGCCGUUGACCACCGCUUUGGCUUUCAUGCAAAUUGAUGAAGGGUAGAGGGGGAAUGAUGGAGCCUAUCCCAACUGACUUCAGACCAGAGGCGGGGUGCACCCUGGGCUCGUCACCAACCGGAGUACACGGAGAAAGCCCAGGCACGCAUGGGAAGAACAUGCAAACUCUACACAGAGAUGGCCAAUGGCGAUUCAAAGCAAAUGAUGGAAUCUGCUUGUGGAAGAUGAAGUCUACUUUCCCAACUCCACUGUCCCCAUGUCCUCCACCUACCAGCCUGUCAGCCCCCGGGCGUCUUCAGCAUCAGAUGUCAGCUUCCUGGAGUCAAACAUUUGCUCUGAAUGAAGGAAUUUGACAGCCAAAAUGGAGGACGACUGUAUAUACCAAACCCAUCAGAAGAUGGUCAGAAGGAAAGGCGGCAUUUGCUUCCUAACAGAUAAAAGUGCUUCGGGAAGCUGCAAAAUGCCAACCAUGAUGUGUCGAAGGAUAACUGUAAAACUGAAACUGUAGCGCACUGAGGAGCCCAGGAGCUUAUGCUACUUCCGUCAACAACAGCAUCAUAGAAACAUGGACGGCACUUACUUUGUCUGCUCUCCCAAGAUGGCUGUGUCUUCCAGCACAAGUCUUCUGCUCCAAUCCUCAGAGGCCUGCAAAGGCAAUGGAGGUGUGCCACUCUGAUGCUGAAGGAUGGACCAAGUGUCACAAUGGAACCGUAGCAGCUGCUGAUGGCUUUUCAGAGCUGCAUGCAAAAGAAGGAAGAGCACAGACAAUAAGUCAAAGAUGUCCUGCAGGCCCCGAGCGCCAUUCAGUGGUAGAAAUAAAGCUGAUCCUUCCACUCCCAAGACGAGGCGGUCCCUGGGAUCUGGUCUGCUGUGUUUCUACUGUCUGAGAGAAGCAUGGUUUGCUGUCCAAGAAAUAGACAGUGACAAUGGCAGUGAGAAAGCCUGCUAUUUGCCGCCAUCUCGGAGCCGGUGUGAAGCUACAGCCGCCAGCUGCCUGCACUUCAGAGGGAGGGGCCCCGGUCAAGACAGCAACACCCCUGCAGCCGUGCCGACGGGUCGACAGCUCUGGCGCCGGGUCAUCUGGAGUGACAGGAUGGUUGCAACACUCGACAUGAAACUAACCAUAUACUUCAAUCAUUAAUAAGGCCCAGGAGAGUCCACUCCACGUUUGGGAUCAACGUCAGGAAUAGUCUCCACCGUUUUCCAGUGACCAGACGGAGGAGGAGGAGGAGAAGAAGUUGGAGGUGGUGUAGGCACACGGCUAAAGCAUGUUGAGGAUGGCGUUGUACAUUUGGACCAGCACGGCCAAGUGGACGGGCAGGCAAGACUGGCGGUCCUGCGUCGAAGGUGUGCAGGUCAGCCAGGAGAGGGCGUUGUACUGCUCCAAUACAAACCUGAGUUGAAAAAAAAGCACAUCAGAGGUGGUCUUCGAAUCCAGCGGGUGAGGCGUCCUCUUCGUCUUGUCUGCCACCAGCUCAUCCGCCUGCACCAUGGAGAUGUGGUGGUGGAGCGAGGCCUGCAAAGAAGGGGAGUCAGAUGUCAUGUUUGUGCAUCAUCUCUCUUCAAGGUUUUCUGUCAUUCUUUACCUUAAGGAAGAGAGGACACUGGUUCUCAGCCUGAGGACACGAGGCCCAGAACCAAUGAGGGAGUCCGUUUGCCUGCGCGGUGGAGACGUAGUAGCCGAGAGCCAGCGGCUGCUGCUUCAGCUCUUCUGGAGGAUUGUCCCUGGAGAGCAAGCGUUCCCCCUGGCUCUGUGGAUACGUGAUAAGGAAAGGUCAAAACAUGAAAUUAAUGCUUCUGCAGUUCAUUUUGUGUUGAUGCAUGGGGGAAAUGUUUGUACCUGUGGGCCGAAAUAGGGCAAGGAAACAUUUGGUAACACUUCAAUAUGUGGAACACAGUCUCGAAUCGCAUACUUCCAAAUUUUGCAUCCCAAAGAACUAAGUGUACUAGUAAAAAUAUUUAAGUGCGAGAUUUUGACCAGGCCUAAAAUGGCUGCCACAUAUACUGAUGUGGGACUGGAAUUGCAAACGCUUGCAAAUACAGUCAUCCCUCGUUGAUGGCAGUUCAUCGGUUCCAAACCCGUAAUUAAUUUUGUACUCACGGCAUAGAAUACACGUUUAUGACCUCAGAUUUAACAGGAUUAGAGACCUCUAGACAUGACAUAACAUCCCUAUAGUCACCGUUACAUCUGUAUUACAGAUAUUAGACACUCCAAUAUAGUAGAUAUAAUCAGAGAACAUAAGAUAAUAUCAGUUCCUAGUUUUUUUUAAUCUUGAAAGCCACGUCAAUGGUAGCUUUAAAUGUCUCAGUUUACAAUAUAGUACACCAAAGUACAGUAGAUACCGAGGAGCUAAUGAGUAGUGGUUCCUUCCUCAUUAACUAGUGUCAUUUUCGGUAUCUUAUGUUGUGUAUAAUGUUAUAUAUCGUAAAAAGAAGUUAGGAGUACUAAAUAGUAGUAGUCGUUUUCCUGGCCUUCCUCUGCCCUCCCAUCGACUUUCAUCUUCUCCCCGAGGUGAGCCAUGACACCAUCAAGGUGUUACAGGCACCUUUUUUCUCUCUCGACUUUGUGAUUAAGCUCUCGUCCCGGUUUGUCAUCACCGUGUCAGAUGUUUUGGAAAGUCAACUGUCAUCACGUCACCCCUGCAUUCGCCUCGCAGCCAAAUUCCUCCGCUCUCAGUCAUGUGGUGCGGUCAUGUGAUGUGUGCGCGCCAUUGUCAGAUGUCCAUCAAAUUCGCCGCAGAGAUAUGCGCUACUCAUGUGAUUAAAUUGUUCCGCGCCUGGACAGGUAUGCGGCUAAAUACCUUUGUGAUGAAACAUACACUACGCUCGCUUCAUUAAUUCAUACUCAGUUUUUCCAGGUUUAAAAAAAAAAAACCUGACUGGCCUAUAUUUGUUUUCCGGAGCAACAAGAUUAGAUUUUCCACCGGUUCUAGGCUUACCCUAGUGUGUUGGAAAUGCGACCCUAUUCCCAUUCCGGAUGGAGAGCCCGGCGACGGCACAGGGGAGGUGUUGGGAGAAGGAUGAAGGUUCCCUGUGAUCAACAUCAUGUCAUGGCCGAUGUCGUUCUCCAGUUCAUCCGGGAAAGGCAGGUCGAACAUGUCAUCUGGGGAAUAAAACAUUUAAAGUUAAGGAUAAUGUGGGAGGACAUGGAAUAUUUGAUUGCAACAGCUCUAUUUUGGAGCAAUGAUGACCCCUGGUGGUGGAAUUCAGACACUGACAGAAGUGAGGGAACACAAUGAGUCUAAUCUGUUGGUAAUACUAUAUUUACAUGGAAAUAUUUGCAUGAUAUUUUAUUACAACUAAACUAAAAAUGACUGAAAACCAAAAUUAAGGAAAAUUAUCUGAAAAAAGCAGCAAAAAUUUAAAAAUAUAUAUUUUCUAUUCAUUGAAUUUAAUAAAUUUCUGAACCAAAUUUUAACAAAAUAAAAUGUUGACUAAAUCCUCAGCUGCAUACCGUUAUUGUCCUCCGUGGGGUAAGAGCUGGGUGCCAGCUGGGUUGUGGCAGAUGUUGGGAAGACGAGGAUGUGCGUACACGAGGCAUCCUGAGGCGUGUUGAGCUGUGAGGUCUGCAGGUUGAGGGCGGUGCUGCGGCCGAACACAGAGCCCAUCGUCACGGCAUCUGAGGGCGAAAGCAAAAAAUCCAGGUUCCUCGUCAUCAAAUGGCGCUUCUCGACAUGCGAGAUGCAUCAGGUGGAAACUCGCGUACGCCACACUUACCAGGCAUGACCACGAGGGAGCCCUGCGGUUCCAUGGCGACCAGGCAGGCACUGAGGAUGGAGGGUGUGUCAGCGGCUGAAAUCCCACACAUGCGACAGGCCUCCCGCAGCUGGCGUCCUAUCGAAUGCAGCGAGUGCUCGCCGAGGAGAGAGCUCCAGUCUUUGUGGAAACAACGGCAAGAUGAAUAGAAGAAUCGCCAGGUCGCCAUUUUAUUGGCGAUAUCAUGCUUUACAUAAUCGAGGAAGCCAACUUUUAGCCACGGUGUGACGCCAUGUAACUCACCUUUAAGCUCACCGUGCCCUAGUCUUCCUAAUCGACCAAUCACAAUCCUCCACGGUAACGAGGUCAUCUGAAUGAUGCCAAUACACCACUCCCACAGCUUCUGCAGACCCAUCUUUCGAGCAGAUACUUUAGGGCGCCGAGACCUGCAGGAGGAAAAUAAAGAUGUGAACAGAAAUCCAACUGAGGGCUCAUUUGGUGUUGAAGUCAAUUCCACAAACCUGUUAGGCACAUCAAUGUUGAUGAUGCUCGUCUCGAGGAGCUCUCCUUGCUGGUCAGUGCACGACACAAGGAUCCAGCGCUGGUCAUGUGACAGGCAGUAGCCCACAAAGAGAACGUCGUAUCUGGGAGGGACUUCUGCCCAUAUCUCUCCAGGUUCUGGCUGCUUGGGCCGGGUCGGACCCAGUAUGAAGGGGGGAGAGUAGAGAUGCACUGGGCUGGGAUGCUGGACGACACAUUUCACAAACAUGGCAAGACUUAUUAACAAUAAAAUGCAUAUUAAUUGUAAGGUACAGAUCAUUUUUACAAGAAAAAUAGUUCUUACAAGAAAGUUUUGAAUGAAUGAAUGAAGG